GUGGGGAAUUUUGGACAAUGGGCGAAAGCCUGAUCCAGCAAUGUCGCGUGUGUGAAGAAGGCCUUCGGGUUGUAAAGCACUUUUGGCAGGGAAGAAACAGUGCGUGCUAAUACCAUGCGCGAAUGACGGUACCUGCAGAAUAAGCACCGGCUAACUACGUGCCAGCAGCCGCGGUAAUACGUAGGGUGCAAGCGUUAAUCGGAAUUACUGGGCGUAAAGCGUGCGCAGGCGGCUUUGUAAGACGGAUGUGAAAGCCCCGGGCUCAACCUGGGAAGUGCAUUCGUGACUGCAAGGCUAGAGUGUGUCAGAGGGAGGUGGAAUUCCGCGUGUAGCAGUGAAAUGCGUAGAGAUGCGGAGGAACACCGAUGGCGAAGGCAGCCUCCUGGGAUAACACUGACGCUCAGGCACGAAAGCGUGGGGAGCAAACAGGAUUAGAAACCCCUGUAGUCC
rnacentral:rRNA from 1 species